ensembl:lncRNA
GUAAAAGUGAAGUGAAGCGGCCUGGCUGUGUUGUGUGUGGCUCAGCAGGCUGUUUAUUGGUUCGGUAAUGGGAUCUGUGUCAGGAAUUCAUGCCAGGCGAAGAGUAAACGAGCUAAAGCACAUUCAGCUAAGCUACAGGAUAAAUAACAACCAUUGUACACAGAAGAAUGCACAACAGGCUUACUGUUUCAACAACAUCCACACUAGAGACAGAGAGAGAGAGAAAGGGAGAGAGAGAGAUGGGGAAAAAAGAGAAAGAGAAACAGUAAAAUGGAAAGAGAGACAGAUGGUAAGAGAGAGAGAGAAACACAGUGAGACAGACAGUGAGGCAGUGAGAGAUUUAAAGCUGCAGGGAAGCUAAAUUUGCUUAAUAGUCAUUUUCCAAUUAUUCACCAAAAACUCUCCACUGUAGAUGUAAGGUGGGUGGGGCUAAUCUUGAGAAAAGCUUGUGUAAGCUCCACCUCCCUCAAUCACAAUUCUGAUGGCACUCAUACCUCCCACACAGCAUGGAGAAAACUAACCUAGCGAGUGAAGCUAAACUAUUGAGCAUAGCUAACAACUCUGUAACUGGUUGGAUGCUACAUGGAGGUUGAACAGCGCUGAUAUCUUGCUGCUUGAAGCUGGAAGUCUCAGACAGAUGGACAGACAGAGGGGAGAGACAGUGGGAGAGACAGUGGGAGAGACAGUGAGAGACAGAGGGAGAGGCAGAGGGAGAGACAGUGGGACGGACAGAGGGAGAGACAGUGAGAGAGACAGUGGGAGAGACAGUGGGAGAGACAAGAGAGGAGACAGUGGGAUGGACAGAGGGACAGACAGAGGGACACUGUCAAUCAAGUUUAUUCAUUGGAAUAUGUAAAUUUAUACACUUAAAAACAGGAAGUACAUAGGACAGUAUAAAACAGAUGAUGGAGUGUAUUCGCAGAACAAAUGACAAAUGGAUCGAUGGACACUUUCUGUACUAUCCUUCCCAUCAUGCACCACCAAACAGAAGGGGCGGGGCUUGUAGCAGAUAAUGAA